rnacentral:rRNA from 1 species
CAAAAACAUUGCUUCUUGAUUCCAUAUAAGAAGUAAUUCCUGCCCAGUGAUUUAACGGCCGCGGUAUCCUAACCGUGCAAAGGUAGCAUAAUCACUUGCCCAUUAAUUGUGGGCUAGAAUGAAAGGACUAACGAAAUAAAAACUGUCUCUGAAGGCCCAAUAAAAAUUAAUCUCUAACUGAAGAGUGUUAGAUAAAGUUGAAGGACAAGAAGACCCUAUAGAGCUUUAUUUUUACAAGUAAGUAACUCCUACAAAAUUCGGUUGGGGCGACCAGGGAAUACUCAUCAUCCCUAAUUAUAAGAUUCAUAAAUCUUUUUUCUGACCCUAUAAAGAUCACCAAAACAAUGCUACCUUAGGGAUAACAGGCUAAUCCCUCUAAAGAGUCCUUAUCAAUAGUGGGGAUUGGCACCUCGAUGUUGGCUUAGGGAAUCUAUACGGCGCAAAAGUCAUAUAAAGAUGGUUUGUUCAACCAAUAACACCCUACAUGAUCU